rnacentral:rRNA from 1 species
GAUGAACGCUGGCGGCGUGCCUAAUACAUGCAAGUCGAGCGAACAGACGAGGAGCUUGCUCCUCUGACGUUAGCGGCGGACGGGUGAGUAACACGUGGAUAACCUACCUAUAAGACUGGGAUAACUUCGGGAAACCGGCGCUAAUACCGGAUAAUAUAUUGAACCGCAUGGUUCAAUAGUGAAAGACGGUUUUGCUGUCACUUAUAGAUGGAUCCGCGCCGCAUUAGCUAGUUGGUAAGGUAACGGCUUACCAAGGCAACGAUGCGUAGCCGACCGGAUAGGGUGAUCGGCCACACGGGAACUGAGACACGGUCCAGACUCCUACGGGAGGCAGCAGUAGGGAAUCUUCCGCAAUGGGCGAAAGCCUGACGGAGCAACGCCGCGUGAGUGAUGAAGGUCUUCGGAGCGUAAAACUCUGUUAUUAGGGAAGAACAAAUGUGUAAGUAACUAUGCACGUCUUGACGGUACCUAAUCAGAAAGCCACGGCUAACUACGUG